AUGUCCGCCGCGGCGGCGCACUCGCACUCGCACUCGCCAUCGCCAUGGCCGCCGCCGCCACCUCCGCCGGCGCCGGCUGGACCCGACUCCCUCACCUCCCUUCUGGGCUCCCUCUCCACCCCCUCCGCCGCCCGCCUCCUCCCCUGCCCCGUCGUCGCCUUCUCCCAGCUCCGCAGCCUCCUGCCCGCCCCCCACCUCCUCCUCCGCCCCAUCAUCUCCAUCCUCCACCUCCACGGCUCCAGCCCCCGGCUGGGCCUCCAGCUGCACGCGCUGUCCCUCUCCCUCGGCCUGUCCCGGGACCCGCUCCUCCUCCGCCGCCUCGUCUCCCUCUACUGCUCCCACCCCUCCCUGCUGCCGGACGCCGCCUCCCUCGCCGCCGGCUCCGCCUGCCCCGUCCCCUACAACAUCCUCAUGUCCUCAUGCCUCGGCCACGGCCUCCCGCGCCAGGCCCUCGCCGCCUACCAGCAAAUGCUCAGCAGCGCCGCGGUCACUCCGGACGCCUUCACCUACCCUUCCGUCCUCCGCGCCUGCGCCGAGGCCCGGGACCUCGCGAUGGGCCGGGCGGUGCACACGCACGCCGCGGCCGCCGGGAUGGACGGCCACUUGUUCUUCCAGAACGCGCUGGUGUCCAUGGUGUUCGACGGAAUGGGGCACAAGGAUGUCGUGUCAUGGAACUCGAUGAUCUCAGCGUAUGCCACGGCUGGGCAAUGGGAAGGGGCGGUGGAGCUGUUUCAGAAGAUGCGAGCCGAGGAGGCAGAGGUGAACUCGGUCACGUGGAACACGAUCGCUGGGGUGUACGUCAAGAUACGCGACCAUAAGGCAGCGGUUGGGCUGAUCCGGGAGAUGGUAAGGGGUGGAGCAGAGGUGGAUUUCGUGACAGUGGUGAUUGGGCUGAACGCGUGCUCGCGGGUUGGCUGGCUGAGGCUCGGGAAGGAGAUCCAUGGUUUGGCAGUACGCAUGUGCUGUCACGGGGAACAGAGUGUAAGCAAUGCGUUGAUCACCAUGUAUGCCAGGUGCAAAGAUAUGGAUUGCGCUCACAGGCUGUUUACAAUGCUGGGGUGCCCUGGUGUGCCUAAUUAUGUCACUGUUGUCACCUACCUUGCCCUCUGCGCCCGUGUUGCAAAUCUGCAACAUGGACGGGAGCUUCACACCCACAUUGUUAAGCAUGGGUUUAAAGGUUAUCGAUUGCUGUGGAACUCUCUUAUUGACAUGUACUCCAAGUCAGGCAGGCUCUCUGUAGCGCAAAAUGUCUUUGAUACCAUGGAGGACCAUGAUAUGAUAUCCUACACUUCAAUGAUAGCAGGAUACGGGAUGCAAGGGAAAGGAUCAGUUGCGCUACGGCUUUUCGACCAGAUGAUUGAUAGUGGGAUCCAGCCAGACAACAUUAUCAUGGUCACUGUCCUCUCUGCUUGCAGCCACUCUGGACUUGUGACUCAAGGAGAAGAGUUUUUUGACAAGAUGACCAGUUCAUAUGGUCUAAAGCCCCAGACAGAGCAUUAUACUUGCAUGGUUGAUCUAUAUGCGCGUGCUGGCCUAUUAGAAAAGGCAGAAUGGAUGCUCAAUCAGAGCUCUUUCAUUCCAACACCCGCGAUGUGGGCAGCAUUAGUCAGGGCUUGUCAUGACAGGGGUAACAUAAUAAUUGGUGAAAGGGCAGCAAGGAAACUCUUGGAUAUGAGGACAGAGAAUGCUGGGCACUAUGUUCUAAUUGCCAACAUGUAUGCAGCUGCAGGUUGUUGGGAUGAGCUAGCAGUAGUGAGGAAGCUGAUGCGAGACUUAGGUGUCACGAAAGCACCUGGGUUGGCAUGGGCUGAUCUCGGUAAUGGGUUUACCCCUUUUUUGGUUGGAGACAGGUCAAACCCUCUAGCACCAGAGAUCUAUGAAGUUUUGGAUGAACUGUCGGAGCAAAUGAAGAAUAUAAAUAGCUGCAGUGAUCUAGAAAUGGUAGAGGGAUUCGUAGAGUAA
rnacentral:rRNA from 1 species